rnacentral:rRNA from 1 species
GUGCCAGCCGCCGCGGUAAUACAUAGGGGUCAAGCGUUGUCCGGAUUUAUUGGGCGUAAAGAGCUCGUAGGCGGUUCAACAAGUCGGUCGUAAAAGUUUAGGGCUCAACCCUAAAAUGUCGAUCGAUACUGUUGUGACUAGGAUACGGUAGAGGUGAAUGGAAUUCCGAGUGUAGCGGUGAAAUGCGUAGAUAUUCGGAGGAACACCAAUUGCGAAGGCAGUUCACUGGGCCGCUAUCGACGCUGAGGAGCGAAAGCUAGGGGAGCAAACACGAUUAGACA